CGAAUCAGAAGAGUGUGGAAAUACGUACCGAGAACUGUUCCCACGCGUGUUUGGUUACAGACGAGGCUGUGGUUAAUGGUUAUCCCGAUUCUCGCCUGGAUCCCGUUGCUGAGGCUCGGGGUCUUCCCAGGGGUGGUCCAAGAGUUGUUGAACCUCGCAGGGGUGCCAGGGGUAAGUUGUGAGCGUUCCUUUACUUUGAGAGCUGCCAAGUGCCAGGCAAAAGGUGACGCCUGCCCCUCCACAGCUCUGAGACUCUCGACCUGCUAAUAGGUCCCAUGUCACUGCCUGGCCCCCCUUCCAUUCAGUGCAACUGCUGCGUGGAGCAAUCUGUACCAGCUUGUAAGGAAACCUUGUCACCAAUGCGUUCGGUUUGUGCUCUGCCUAUAGGCGAUGGUUACCAAACUUUUCAGCGGUAUCCAGUUCUCAUGCCUCAGGAGGAUCCCCGGGGUAAGUAGUCAAGCUUUAUUCACUUCACAGAAUAAGCUUUUACCUUUGAAAAUGUUCUUCAUAUGGCACAGACCUGAGUAAGUCCUUGGCUGCUGCUCAGACACUCCCAAUAGUAGAGUGGGACUUGGGUGGCCUUCAGCUAUCUGCCGCGGUGUGCUUUUCCUUGGGAAGGCUUUGUGCUGCUCGCAGUGCCUACUGCAAAGGCCACAGGCUUGUUGGGGUGGAGUUACAGCUUGCGUGAACUCCAGGGCAUCCUUUCCCCCAGCAGCUCUGUGCAGGCUUCAGUUUGUACCCAUAAAAAUCUGCAGAAGUAUAUGGCAACAUAUAGAUAACGGGAACUGUUCCCAUGUGUGUUUGGUUGAAGCUGUGGCUGUAGGGAGUGGAGAUCCCUCUUCUGCUCUGGAGCCUGGCCUGGAGACUCCGAGACAUCAUGGAGGUGUUCCUGUAGGCAGUGGCCUCCCAGCUUCUCAUCCGGAUGCCACUGUU